AUUGAACGCUGGCGGCAUGCCUUACACAUGCAAGUCGAACGGCAGCACGGGAGCAAUCCUGGUGGCGAGUGGCGAACGGGUGAGUAAUACAUCGGAACGUGCCCAAUCGUGGGGGAUAACGCAGCGAAAGCUGUGCUAAUACCGCAUACGAUCUACGGAUGAAAGCAGGGGACCCGCAAGGGCCUUGCGCGAAUGGAGCGGCCGAUGGCAGAUUAGGUAGUUGGUGGGGUAAAGGCUCACCAAGCCUUCGAUCUGUAGCUGGUCUGAGAGGACGACCAGCCACACUGGGACUGAGACACGGCCCAGACUCCUACGGGAGGCAGCAGUGGGGAAUUUUGGACAAUGGGCGAAAGCCUGAUCCAGCAAUGCCGCGUGCAGGAUGAAGGCCUUCGGGUUGUAAACUGCUUUUGUACGGAACGAAACGGUCCUUUCUAAUACAGAGGGCUAAUGACGGUACCGUAAGAAUAAGCACCGGCUAACUACG
rnacentral:rRNA from 1 species